UGUUUAUUGAAUAUAAAGAAAAGACGAACAGCUCAGUAACUCUUAUUUUAUUUGAUGUAUUAGGAUUAUAACUAUGUUAAAUUAUAGAUAACAAUAAUACAAUAAGAAUAAGAUCUAUCAGUUAGUUGUUAAGGUAAUGGCUUAACAAGACUAUGACGGAUAACGGUAUUACUUUGUAAUAUUCCGGAGAAGGAGCCUGAGAGAUUGCUACUAAGUCUAAGGAUUGCAGCAGGGGCGAAACUUGACCUAUGAUAUGAUAUUGAGGCAGUUAUGAGUAGUAUUUUUAAUUAUUGUAGUAUUGUAAGUAUAUACUACAAGAUAAAUCGGAGGGCAAAUCGAGUGCCAGCAGCCGCG
rnacentral:rRNA from 1 species